GACAUGGUUUCGAGAUUGUAGAUCUUCAGACGGAGACUGCAAGCAAAUGAGUCAUGGAAACAGACUCCUUUAAGGUCUUUUGAAAUGAAUCAAAUUUGAUUUUAAGGUUUCACUGGUCACAGCUGAUUGGCUGGAGGCUUGAAUCCAUUUGAGAGGAACCAAAUGGGAACACUCUGAGCAGGUUUUUUCCACCAUAGGGAUGGAAAUGGAGGGCCAAGAGUUGAACUGAAGUGAUUACAGAACACUCUGAGAGAACGGACUGAUGUGCUGCCUCUUAAUCCCAUUGCAUCAUGGGAUAGCAUCAGUCUUCUGAUGUUGGCCGUCGCUGAUGGCUCGGCACAGUGGGAGCUCCGGAGCUUCAGGAUAGCUCGGACGACACAGUCGGCUGAUAGCCGGACUGGUUAUACCUCACUAAGGAGCUCUGCACGCCUUGAAGAAAGCAUAAAAUGAGAAUAAAUGGAAGGUGUCAAUCCCAAAAGGGAGAGCUGGUCAUCUGUAGAAGCAAAGAUGUAUGAGCACAUAAGGACGGGUAAUUUCAUCUCUCCACCAGGAGAGAACACAGAAUGACUUCACCAACAUCUCUGGCCUGUAACAGUAGGGCAUGAUUUCUGUUUCUGAUGAUCUGUUGUUUCUCCCUCUGGUCAUAAACCCCUUGUGGAGAGACUAAAGUUCAUUAUAUGGCAUUUCGAAUAUCCCUGUCUUUGUGUGCUAUCAGUUGAAAGGUAAUGUAUUUUUGUUGAAAUAUACGCUCCGCUUUUUUAACUUCAGUCACUUAUAGGAUGAUUCUACCGAGAAGUGUGAUUCUCGUGGCUCGUGGGGCUAUAAAACAUCACCAUGGCUCGGACAAAAAGGGGUAAGUGCAACUCUAAAGGGGGAAAUGUGUUUGAAAACAGUUAAUAUUGUUUGGAAAUCGACUUUGGACUUCAUAAUUUAUUAAGAAUAAUUCAGCAGUUGCGACAUAACAUGAAUAAGAUCACACUUAUUGAGCAUGCAGAUAACACUUUUAUUACAUUUCAAUGCCGCCAGCCUUAGAAUGAACAUUUGAAGGACAGAUUGCAUUUAUGUAGAACUGAACAGAAAGGGAUACAGAGAGAAUAAAUGUAGUUUCAUUGAUUUGAUUAAAAUACUGUUAAAUAACAAAGGCCUGUUCAAUCACUUGACACUAUGACAGCGAAGGAAAAUCAUAUCUGUUAUUUUCUGUCUGGUGGGUUUGUGACG